GGCGGAGCGCCGCUGCCGGGCACGCGACCGCUGCACGCAGCGCCGGCUGCCUGAAGCGUGCCCUCGACACUAACACCACACGGCACGUUUCAGACAAGACUAAUUCGCUUCUAACAAAAUUCUGGUACUGUGCUGUUAGCAGGAGUAACCACAGGGCAGACGUCAGACGUGUCAUUUGACAUAGGUGUUGUCGUCUGGUUGAUCAUAGCAACAAUAGCUACAGAGAGGUUGACCCGCAUAGCGUAUACAUUUGCGAAGCCCAGGAACCCCAUGAUGCCGAGAACUGUCCGACUCUUGAUCCAUCCUGUUGUUUCUUCCACUAUAAUUGGGUCCGUCUGUCGCUCGUGACAUCAUUUUCUAUGUCAGCAUUGAUAAUAGGACUUUCUUCCGACGACAUGGUCACUACAAAAGCACCAUUCCUCGUUCCACUUACACGAGCACCAUAUAUUUGUACUUAAAAUCUCGGCAAUUAAAGAAA